rnacentral:tRNA from 2 species
AGAGGUGUAGCUUAGUUGGUAGAGCACCGGUCUCCAAAACCGUAUGUCGAGAGUUCGAUUCUCUCCACCUCUG